UACGGAGGGUGCAAGCGUUAUCCGGAAUCACUGGGCGUAAAGGGCGCGUAGGUGGUCUGUUAAGUCUGGCGUUAAAGCCUGGGGCUCAACCCCAGAUCAGCGUUGGAUACUGGCAGGCUAGACGGUUGGAGAGGCGAGUGGAAUUACCAGUGUAGCGGUGGAAUGCGUAGAUACUGGUAGGAACACCCAUUGCGAAGGCAGCUCGCUGGACAACACGUGACACUGAGGCGCGAAAGUGUGGGGAGCAAACCGGAUUAGAUACCCGGGUAGU
rnacentral:rRNA from 1 species